rnacentral:tRNA from 1 species
AUUGGGGUAGCUUACAAUAAAAGCGUUAUUUUGAAGAAAUAAAAACAGAUUUUAUCUCUCUAAUG